rnacentral:lncRNA from 1 species
AGUGAUUACUACACACAGUUCAGCAGUUAUUUCAUUAAAAUGUAUUUUGUCCAGUCUGAGUAAACAUACAGAACCUGUGCACCUAAUCAUUAACGUUAUAUUGUAUAUCAAUUGUUAUAUGGUAGACACUUAUAAAGGACUUACUUGAGCAUAACAAUUGAAAGGCAAGUUAUACAACGCUGUGAACAGAAUUUAACAAUAUUUUAGCAUUUCAUUACUGCGAUCUUACUGGAUCGGUUUCUGCUGUUUUAUAUUUCAUAGAGGAUUAGACUAGAUACGGAUUUGUUGCGAUCGAGAAUUAUGGCUGUUCCAAUACGCCUUGCGCAUAUUGUUAUCCUAUUUACCAUUUUGAAUCUCACGCUCUGCAUACCUCCUUGUCCUCCUAUGGGUCUUCAAAGUAACUUGGUUUUCUCAAAGGAAGAAAUGUUUCUUACACGUUUGCGCAGGCAUCUACACAACGAUGCAACCCAGCAGAUGAAUGUGGUUCGUGCAGACGGCAGAAUAAUAAAGAAGGCUAACAAGACAUACUAGACAUCUAACAAAUUGACAUGUAAAGAUUUUAGCUGCAAAACUGUAAAAAUAUUAAGACAGACAAAUAUACAUUCAUAAAGUGUAUUGAGAGCAAUCGUGAACACUAACAAAUAUACAUUCAAUAAAUGUAUUGAACGUGAUCGAAGUUUGUGUAUCAACAAAUAUAGUAAUAUGUUUCGUCAUUACAAAAUAAUCAUGACUGUGCUCUGUAAAUUCAAAUACUAGUAAAUCUGUUUAACUGUUUUAAACAAAGAUUAACAACUAAAUUAUUUUACACUCUUGCAGUA